AAUUUGUUGUUCCCGGGCUUGUGCCAAGAGUGUUUGUGUUAAUAAACCAAAUGGACGCUCCAGAGUCCACCGAGAGUGACUGAUGGUGGAGGCAGCCAGGCGCCAGCCCGAGGCCAGAGGAGGUGUGGGUCAUAGACUUCCAGUCGAAACCUUCUGAGGUUUCCCAGCCCCAGGGACCCUCGGCGGUCAUCUCUCCCAACACCCUUGAUGCACAGAAUUCUCCCAUGAGAAGACCCUAUUUGGCCCCAUUUUUGCAAAUGAGGAAUUUCAGCUCCAACAAGGAGACAGAGACUUGCAGAGACAGAGAGACACAGAAGAGCACCGGGGAGGAAGGCCAUGUGACCACAGAGGCUGGGAUUGGCGUGAGGCACCUACGAGCCAGUGAAGGUCGAGGAUUGCCGGCAACCACCAGCAUCUCACACAAGGAGGACAAAAAUCUUCCAGACAAGGAGGGAUUUUCCUCUGGAGCCUUAAGGGGGAGCCUGGCUCCACCAUCACCUUGACUUUGGACUUCUAAACUCUGGAACCGUGAGAGAAUAAAUUUCUGUUGUUUUAAGCCACCCGGUUCAUGGUACUUCAUUACAGCAGCCCCAGGAACCUAAUCUGGAAUCCUAGAGUCAUUAUUCUGAUCCCUCUCCCAAGCAAACCCUUUCUCAUAGUCAAGGUCACACAAGUGUUUACCGAAAGCCAGCAGGUGCCCGGGGACCGAGGACACAGAGAAGAUACAGUCCCUCGCUCAGGGGGCUCACACACAGACAAUGACAACACAGUUGUCCCUUGUCCUCCUUGCUUUGACGUCUGGUGGGGUACUGGAGGAAGCGGGGGCUGUGUGGACAAAUCUUGCUUUUGAACGUUGGGGCCAUCACUUCCUGGCUGUGUGCUCAAUGGCAGGGCAUAGCCCACCUCUCUGAAACCUGGUUUCUUCAUCUGC